UACCAGCACCCCGAGUGGUCGGGACGUUUAUUGGGCCUAAAGCAUCCGUAGCCGGUUCUACAAGUCUUCCGUUAAAUCCACCUGCUCAACAGAUGGGCUGCGGAAGAUACUAUGGAGCUAGGAGGCGGGAGAGGCAAGCGGUACUCGAUGGGUAGGGGUAAAAUCCGUUGAUCCAUUGAAGACCACCAGUGGCGAAGGCGGCUUGCCAGAACGCGCUCGACGGUGAGGGAUGAAAGCUGGGG
rnacentral:rRNA from 1 species